rnacentral:rRNA from 1 species
AGAGUUUGAUCCUGGGUCAGAUUGAACGCUGGCGGCAGGCCUAACACAUGCAAGUCGAGCGGUAACAGAGAGUAGCUUGCUACUUUGCUGACGAGCGGCGGACGGGUGAGUAAUGCUUGGGAACAUGCCUUGAGGUGGGGGACAACAGUUGGAAACGACUGCUAAUACCGCAUAAUGUCUACGGACCAAAGGGGGCUUCGGCUCUCGCCUUUAGAUUGGCCCAAGUGGGAUUAGCUAGUUGGUGAGGUAAUGGCUCACCAAGGCGACGAUCCCUAGCUGGUUUGAGAGGAUGCUCAGCCACACUGGGACUGAGACACGGCCCAGACUCCUACGGGAGGCAGCAGUGGGGAAUAUUGCACAAUGGGCUCAAGCCUGAUGCAGCCAUGCCGCGUGUGUGAAGAAGGCCUUCGGGUUGUAAAGCACUUUCAGUCAGGAGGAAUGGUUAGUAGUUAAUACCUGCUAGCUGUGACGUUACUGACAGAAGAAGCACCGGCUAACUCCGUGCCAGCAGCCGCGGUAAUACGGAGGGUGCGAGCGUUAAUCGGAAUUACUGGGCGUAAAGCGUACGCAGGCGGUUUGUUUAGCGAGAUGUGAAAGCCCUGGGCUCAACCUGGGAACUGCAUUUCGAACUGGCAAACUAGAGUAUGAUAGAGGGUGGUAGAAUUUCAGGUGUAGCGGUGAAAUGCGUAGAGAUCUGAAGGAAUACCGAUGGCGAAGGCAGCCACCUGGGUCAACGCUGACGCUCAUGUACGAAAGCGUGGGGAGCAAACGGGAUUAGAUCCCCCGGUAGUCCACGCCGUAAACGAUGUCUACUAGAAGCUCGGGUCCUCGGACUUGUUUUUCAAAGCUAACGCAUUAAGUAGACCGCCUGGGGAGUACGGCCGCAAGGUUAAAACUCAAAUGAAUUGACGGGGGCCCGCACAAGCGGUGGAGCAUGUGGUUUAAUUCGAUGCUACGCGAAGAACCUUACCUACACUUGACAUACAGAGAACUUACCAGAGAUGGUUUGGUGCCUUCGGGAACUCUGAUACAGGUGCUGCAUGGCUGUCGUCAGCUCGUGUUGUGAGAUCUUGGGUUAAGUCCCGGA